UGUAGUCUCGCACAGAUGCAUAUCAAUAAGCGGAGGAAAAGAAACUAACAAGGAUUCCCCUAGUAAGGGCGAGUGAAGCGGGAAGAGCUCAAAUUUGAAAUCUUAAAGGGUUUCCCUUUACGAAUUGUAGUUUAAAGAAGUGUUUUCUGUUGAGGUUUUGGUAAAAGUUCUUUGGAAUAGGACAUCAUAGAGGGUGAGAAUCCCGUAUUUGACCUUUACUUUCAACUUUGUGAUACACUUUCAAAGAGUCGGAUUGUUUGGGAAUGCAGUCCAAAAUGGGUGGUAAAUUUCAUCUAAAGCUAAAUAUUGGCGAGAGACCGAUAGCGAACAAGUACCGUGAGGGAAAGAUGAAAAGAACUUUGAAAAGAGAGUUAAACAGUACGUGAAAUUGUCAAAAGGGAAGCGUUUGACACCAGUGUUGUUUUUCUGAAAAUCAAUUAAAGAACUGUUUAUGCUAAGUUGUUUAGACUUUAUCAGCUAUCUGCUUAGUUUUGAGCUUUUCUUUAAUGCACUUUUCAGUUAACAAGUCAACAUCAAUUCCUUUUGCUGUAAAAAAGCUUGAGGAAGGUGGCUUGAGAUUCGUCUUAAGUGUUUAUAGCCUCUUGCCUAUGCAGUCGGAGAGAUUGAGGUCUGCAGCGUAGAUCCUUCGGGGCUAAAUGCAUUUGUGCUAAGUUAUAGCAUUUUAUAGACAACUUGUUGACUAUGAUUUGUCUUGUAGCUUACUCGCUUAUGUUAUUUUACCUACGCUUAGGAUGUUGACGCAUGAGAUAUACGC
rnacentral:rRNA from 1 species